GUACUCCGGGGAUAACAGGCUGAUACCGCCCAAGAGUUCAUAUCGACGGCGGUGUUUGGCACCUCGAUGUCGGCUCAUCACAUCCUGGGGCUGAAGUAGGUCCCAAGGGUAUGGCUGUUCGCCAUUUAAAGUGGUACGCGAGCUGGGUUUAGAACGUCGUGAGACAGUUCGGUCCCUAUCUGCCGUGGGCGCUGGAGAACUGAGGGGGGCUGCUCCUAGUACGAGAGGACCGGAGUGGACGCAUCACUGGUGUUCGGGUUGUCAUGCCAAUGGCACUGCCCGGUAGCUAAAUGCGGAAGAGAUAAGUGCUGAAAGCAUCUAAGCACGAAACUUGCCCCGAGAUGAGUUCUCCCUGACUCCUUGAGAGUCCUGAAGGAACGUUGAAGACGACGACGUUGAUAGGCCGGGUGUGUAAGCGCAGCGAUGCGUUGAGCUAACCGGUACUAAUGAACCGUGAGGCUUAACCUUACAACGCCGAAGGUGUUU
rnacentral:rRNA from 1 species